GUCUCUAUGCUUCGCGAUCAAAAGAAUUCCUUUGAAUCGGAAAAGUUUACUUCAUUCUCAUAUUGAAAAUGACUUGAUUAUGUGCCCCAAGAUCUGCUUUGAUACAGUUUGUCAUCUCUCAAGGUCUUUUCUAAAACAUGUCAAUAAAGGAGAAAAUGCGUGAUAGAAUAAAAUACGACGAGGGCCAGAGGUAGAAUUUAAAAAUCUAUUGUAAAUCGUUCAAGGCUAUAGCACAACGAUUAAGAAGAUAUGAAUAAUAACGGUAAAUUUGGAGAACUAGUGUUUAAAAAUAUUCUUUAAAUUUGUAUAUGGUAUCGCUACUUUGCCUUGUUUCAAUGACAUAUAUGAAUUCCGUGUGAAAU